rnacentral:rRNA from 1 species
UACGUAGGGGGCAAGCGUUGUCCGGAAUCAUUGGGCGUAAAGCGCGUGUAGGCGGUUCAGUAAGUCUGCUGUGAAAGUCCAGGCUCAACCCUGGGAUGCCGGUGGAUACUGCUGGACUAGAGUGCGGAAGAGGCGAGUGGAAUUCCCGGUGUAGCGGUGAAAUGCGCAGAUAUCAGGAAGAACACCAAUGGCGAAAGCAGCUCUCUGGGACGGUACUGACGGCUGAGACGCGAAAGCGUGGGGAGCGAAACAGG